AUUGAACGCUGGCGGCAGGCCUAACACAUGCAAGUCGAACGAGUGGCGGACGGGUGAGUAAUGUCUGGGAAACUGCCUGAUGGAGGGGGAUAACUACUGGAAACGGUAGCUAAUACCGCAUACCAGCAGAUGGGCCCAGACGGGAUUAGCUAGUUGGGGGGGUAACGGCUCACCAAGGCGAAGAUCCCUAGCUGGUCUGAGAGGAUGACCGGCCACACGGGGACGGAGGCACGGACCAGAGCCGUACGGGAGGCAGCAGUGGGGAAUAUGGCACAAUGGGCGCAAGCCUGAUGCAGCCAUGCCGCGUGUAUGAAGAUGGCCUUCGGGUUGUAAAGUACUUUCAGCGGGGAGGCGUUACCCGCAGAAGAAGCACCGGCUAACUCCGUGCCAGCAGCCGCGGUAAUUC
rnacentral:rRNA from 1 species